GCGUCGAGCGGCGGACGGGUGAGUAAUGCCUAGGAAAUUGCCCUGAUGUGGGGGAUAACCAUUGGAAACGAUGGCUAAUACCGCAUAAUGCCUACGGGCCAAAGAGGGGGACCUUCGGGCCUCUCGCGUCAGGAUAUGCCUAGGUGGGAUUAGCUAGUUGGUGAGGUAAUGGCUCACCAAGGCGACGAUCCCUAGCUGGUCUGAGAGGAUGAUCAGCCACACUGGAACUGAGACACGGUCCAGACUCCUACGGGAGGCAGCAGUGGGGAAUAUUGCACAAUGGGCGCAAGCCUGAUGCAGCCAUGCCGCGUGUGUGAAGAAGGCCUUCGGGUUGUAAAGCACUUUCAGUCGUGAGGAAGGUAGUGUAGUUAAUAGCUGCAUUAUUUGACGUUAGCGACAGAAGAAGCACCGGCUAACUCCGUGCCAGCAGCCGCGGUAAUACGGAGGGUGCGAGCGUUA
rnacentral:rRNA from 1 species